CGAACGGGUGAGUAACACGUGGGCAACCUGCCCAAAAGAAGGGGGGAGUAACACUUGGAAACAGGUGCUAAUACCGCAUAACCAUAGUUACCGCAUGGUAACUAUGUAAAAGGUGGCUAUGCUACCGCUUUUGGAUGGGCCCGCGACGCAUUAGCUAGUUGGUGGGGGUAAAGGCUUACCAAGGCAAUGAUGCGUAGCCGAACUGAGAGGUUGAUCGGCCACAUUGGGACUGAGACACGGCCCAAACUCCUACGGAAGGCAGCAG
rnacentral:rRNA from 1 species